UCACAUGAGAGUUUGAUCCUGGCUCAGAGCGAACGCUGGCGGCGUGCUUAACACAUGCAAGUCGAGUGCGCAGCUUUCUGUAGCAAUACAGGAAGUCGGCGCACGGCGCACGGGUGAGUAACACGUGGGCAACCUGCCCUUUGGAUGGGGGAUAACCCCGCGAAAGCGGGGCUAAUACCGCAUGAUAUUCCGAGGACUUCGGUCUUUGGACUCAAAGCCCGCAAGGGCGUCUAAGGAGGGGCCCGCGCCCGAUUAGCUAGUUGGUGAGGUAACGGCUCACCAAGGCUAUGAUCGGUAGCCGGUCUGAGAGGAUGGCCGGCCACACUGGAACUGAGACACGGUCCAGACUCCUACGGGAGGCAGCAGUGGGGAAUAUUGCGCAAUGGGCGAAAGCCUGACGCAGCGACGCCGCGUGGGGGAUGAAGCUUUUCGGAGUGUAAACCCCUUUCGACCCGGACGAAUGACCCGCAAGGGUUUGACGGUACGGGUAUAAGAAGCCCCGGCUAACUACGUGCCAGCAGCCGCGGUAAUACGUAGGGGGCCAGCGUUGCUCGGAAUUACUGGGCGUAAAGGGUUCGUAGGCGGUGCGGCAAGUUGGGAGUGAAAUCUCUGGGCUUAACUCAGAGGCUGCUUUCAAAACUGCCGUGCUCGAGUGCGGGAGAGGCCAGUGGAAUUGCAGGUGUAGCGGUGAAAUGCGUAGAUAUCUGCAGGAACACCCGUGGCGAAGGCGGCUGGCUGGACCGCAACUGACGCUGAGGAACGAAAGCUAGGGGAGCAAACAGGAUUAGAUACCCUGGUAGUCCUAGCCCUAAACCAUCAGGACUUGGGGUGGCCCGCGUAGGCGGGUCGUCUCGUAGCUAACGCGUUAAGUCCUGCGCCUGGGGAGUACGGUCGCAAGACUGAAACUCAAAGGAAUUGACGGGGGCCCGCACAAGCGGUGGAACAUGUGGUUCAAUUCGACGCAACGCGAAGAACCUUACCUGGGCUUGAACCGCCGGUGACCAGCGGUAGAAAUAUCGUCUUCUCGCAAGAGACACCGGUAGAGGUGCUGCAUGGCUGUCGUCAGCUCGUGCCGUGAGGUGUUGGGUUAAGUCCCGCAACGAGCGCAACCCUUAUUCGUAGUUGCCACCCGCAAGGGGGAACUCUACGAGGACUGCUCCGGAUAACGGAGAGGAAGGUGGGGAUGACGUCAAGUCAGCACGGCCUUUAUGUCCAGGGCUACACACGUGUUACAAUGCGCGGUACAGACUGUUGCGAACCCGCGAGGGGGAGCUAAUCGGAUAAAACCGCGCUCAGUUCGGAUUGCAGUCUGCAACUCGACUGCAUGAAGCUGGAAUCGCUAGUAAUGGCGUAUCAGAUCGACGCCGUGAAUACGUUCCCGGGCCUUGUACACACCGCCCGUCACAUCACGAAAGUGAGCUGUACUAGAAGUCGCCCAGCCAACCGCAAGGAGGCAGGCGCCCAAGGUAUGGCCCAUGAUUGGGGUGAAGUCGUAACAAGGUAGCCGUAGGAGAACCUGCGGCUGGAUCACCUCCUUU
rnacentral:rRNA from 1 species